ensembl:lncRNA
UAUCUAUAUAUCUGUCUAUCUAUCUGUCUAUCUGUCUGUCUAUCUAUAUAUCUGUCUAUCUAUCUGUCUAUCUUCUUCAGCUUUCAAAACAAAUAAUAGGCUAAAUGUAUUUAGACCGCACUUAAAGAGGUUCAGCUGGGGGUGGAUUAGUAAAUCCUGAAAAGUGGUUAGAGGAGGAGGCUCUGCUUAGGUUCCUGCCCAGGGCGCUCCUCCACUAAACACUUUUCACCUCAUAAACUCGUCCACCAAAUCGUCAAAGUCUGGCUCGUUAACAAGCUCCAGCGUAAGACCCGGAAACGACUGCGUGCCGGGAGUUCUGCUGCACGAUUCAGUUUAAAGUUCAUUUUUAAUCCGACCCGUUUCAGAAAACAAAUGCUGUCUCUCUUCUCGUUCUUUUUAUUUAUUAUUUUGUCCCCCAAUUGACACACUUAGUGGGGGUUUAUGAUUAUCGGGGGGUUUUGUUUUUAUGCAUCAUAUUGUGUGUGAUGGCGUAAUGGACACUAAUCAUUCUAUGUUCGUUAAAGGCCCUGGGUCAGUGCUCAGUAGGCCCGGUCAGUCGUCCACCCUGCACACACCUCGGCCUCUCCGGUUUCUCCAUGGCUGAUACCUGGCAACAUGAGCUACCGUAGGUUUUACCCAACUGAUUUGACAGACAUGGUAUAAUGUCCACGUUCCUCUCAGGUGAAGUCAGUGUGUACGUGCUCGCGACGGAUUCGAGUAAUCGCAUCUUUAACGGUUCAGCUCCUUUCCUCUCAUCCUUUUUUUAACUCACAAUAGAUCAUUUAACAGUCUAGUGGAUUAUUCUUUAUUAUAUUACAGCCAAAUUAAUGCGACUGGGUUUUUUUUUUUUUUUUCUCCCAGCUUUUAAGAAAGAACAAGGACAUUUUUACAUACUUAAACAUGAUUCAAAUGCUGUACUGCCUCGUCAAAUCCAAUACGCCGAGCUAAUUAGGUUUUAGUGUUUCAGGCAAAUGUGCAAAAGUGGGCUUAAUUUAAGACAAGAAAAGCCCUUUUUUGUCAUUUUAAACAGCGCCGAAAGGCCGCUGAUUCAAAGGAGUCUCUGAAACGUGUUGUCUUAUUUAUCUGUGUUUCAAGUGACAGUGUUUGGAGACUCGGAUAUGCAAUUUACUGCUCAAAUCCGGCAGACAAUAAUGUGUAGCUUCGCCGGUCCCUCGGCGUUCUCGGCAGGCGUUCGGUCCCACUCGUGACUAGUGAGUGACUUGACGAGGAGAAUAAAAAUAACAGACUAAAGCAAGCAAAUGGAAAAUGUGUUUGUAAAACACUUGCUUUAUACGACGUAAAUCGGGAUCUGAAUAGAGGGCGGCGUGAACGUCAGCAUCGCCAUGUCGAUAUUUUGAGAACGUCACAGUGAGGAUGGCAGUUCUGUUUGUGUUUGUUUUUCUGCGUGGUUGUUUUCUCUCGUCCUCGUCUCGUGGAAAUAAAUCGACUAAGGACAUACUGUACGUGUGCGUUGUGAUGAAGCGGAUUUAACUCGUAUCUCCCUGAGGUUGAUUAUUUUCCUUUAACGGGACAUAAGGGAACGUUUUGCUCUUCUCAGACCACAGGAUUCUUUGCCAACGAUCAUGAGUAAAAGCUAUAACAAUAUUUCUAGCCCAAAGUCUUGCCGACUACAUGCUGCAUUUCUGUUUAUCAUCCUCCUUUCUGGAGAUAUCACAUGGCACUAGGAGAAAGGAUUCAUUGCAAGAGCGUGUAAUAAAGUGAAAGGAAUGAUGAUUUUAUUAAUCGAGACACGCCAGCACUAAGGCUUUUUUUUUUUUUUUUUUUUUUUUUCCAGACGGAGUGAAGCUCCAGGUCAACCCUGUAAUCAUGUGGCUGAGCUACUAUUAGUCUAGCAAUCAUAACUUAAUCAUAUCAUACGCUAAUUGACCUGAAGAGGAAAGCACAGGGUCAAAAAUAAUCCAAUCAUGGAAUAAAUAUAGUAUAAGUAAUUCAUACUUCUGUAAAUGGGGGAGUCCUUCAACUUUCAAUUUCGCUCCGGACUUUAUUCUUUUCUUUGCACACGAGGCGAGUGGAGUGAGCACGGCUUCUCGAGCCUCCAUCCAUCCUCGCAGCCGUGCCCAAGGUGAUCUGCACCAUCCAUUCUUAUCAUCUAGUUGUCAAUUGAUCUAUUACCCCUGCACCCUAUUCACUUAAUGGUAGCGUGAUUAAUUAUCGCCACCUGCAGUGCAGACAGAAAGAGAAAGUGGAGAAAAGGAAGGAAAAAUCUUAUUGCGGAUCCUUUUUUCUCCGGCUUUUGUCCGUUAGACCUUGGAUUUAUAAGCUCGUCUCUAAAGUCAAUGAAGUAUCGAUGAGUUCAGGUGUAUAUGAAUACCGAGCCUGUUCUGCCUCAUUGGCCGCAAAACCUCGACUUGAACCUUUUAGCGUGAUUUGUAUAUCAGUAGCAGGUAUAGAACUCAUUAGAAACUCAUUUCUCUUAACACGUUCACAUGGAAUCUGGAAUCGGUAUUGUGCAGGAUCGCUGUUCAAAUGUAAAUUGUGUUCUAAAAGGAGAUUAUAUCGCCGGUUUUCGGCAUCGGGAGAAAUGCAGGCCUGCUAGUGGAGGUGUCGAAGCGUCUGAAGAGCUUGUUAACUCAGGCAUGAAACGCACUUGUGGAUAUUUUACUUUCUCUGUAAGACCUGUUUUACGUCCAGUGAUGGAAUAUUUGUGAACAAGCCGACACUUUAAGGUAAAUGUUGUAGAGAAAUUUGUGUAAAUAAAGAGUUGAAGGUGCACAUUACACCACUCCAGCUCACACUCCGCAUUGCAUGUAGUGAUCUCAGGCUGCUCGGCCCUGGAAACCCAUUUCAUGAUGCUCCUGAGGCACAGUUCUUGUGCUGAUGUUGCUUUCGGAGGCGGUUUGGAACACUGUAGUUAGAGAUGCAACAAAGGAUAGGCAAUGCACUUUAGCACUCUCUCUGUGAGUGUGUGGUCUACGUCUUCAUGGAUGAGCUGUUUUUUUUUUUUUUUUUUUGCUUCUAGAAGCUUCCAUUUCACAAUAAUAGCACUUAAAGUUGACCAGGGCAGAAAUUUCAUGAAUUGACUUGUGAUAAAGGUGGCAUUCUAUAUCAGUGCCACGUCCGAAGUCACCGAGCUCUUCAGUACAACCCGUUCUACUGCCAGUCUCCGUGUAUGGAGACUGCACCGUUCGGUUGUGUGCUUGGUUUCAUGCGCAUGUUCGCAACGGGUCUGGAUGAAACACCUGAACUCAAUCAUUGAGGGGGUGCAAAUACUUUUAGCCAUAUAGUGUAUCUUGAAAAACAUCUUAUCAACUCCUAACCUGUUUGCUUCCGUGUAUCGAUUCUUCUUCUUCGUCGUCAUCUUACCAUUAAGGGUUCUGUGGCUUGUUCCUCUGGCGGAACCAUACAACAGGAGGUUUCCCUAUCAAAGAAAAUCCAAGAAAAAAUGUCUGGGUUCCGCGCGCGACCCUGUUCCCCGAGAAGGGAACAAGACAUCGUGUGAGUUGUUCAGUACAGCAUAGCAAUUUAGACCUAACACUGACUUCAGCUGACCUUAUUUGGCUUCUUCCUGUAGUGGAAAGCUGAAACGGAGGGUUUCCCUAUCAAAGAAUAUUCAAGAAGAACCUAUUUAUGAUACGAAGAACCCUUAACUAUCUUGGAAAACUUCUUAUCAACAUCUGGACUGUUUAGUUAAACAUAAUUUAGAGCCGAAACCCACCUCUUUGUCGUAACAUUAAGGGUAGAGUUCCGUAAGAACUUACUUCGGAUGUAAAGAGACACUUUCCAAGACCAGGGUCUCUGCAGGUAUCAGCACUUCAAAUCUAAUACUUUUUAAUACCAUGUUCAAAAAAUGGAUUGUGUUCAUGCAGAUACAUCCGUUUCUGGGUUUAAGUAAACUAUAGCAGGGUAAACUUCUAUAGAGGGAUAUGGGAGAGCGCAGCAAAUUUAAAAAAUCCAGUAUUUCCUCAGUACAUCCAGAGCAUGUUCUCCCCGUGCUGCAGGGGUUUCCUCCCCCAGUCCAAAGACAUGCAACGUAGGCUGAUUGUCAUGUCCGAAUUGUCCAUAGUGUGUGAGUGUGUGUGUGUGUGUGCCCUGCGAUGGAUUGACACCCAGUCCAGUAUGAACCUCACCUUGUUCCCGAUGCUCCCUGGGAUACACUCCGGGUUCCCUGCGACCCUGUAGGAUAAGAGGUGUAGAAAAUGGAUGGAUGGAUGGAUUCAAUUUUAUGUUAGACCUUGUGGCUUUUAUUUUGACUGAACCCACUUUUUUUUAUCUUACAAUUAAGGGUUGCUUGGCCUUCUGAUGGAAAACUACGACAAAAGGUUUCCCUGUCCAAUAGGGUCCAAGAAGAAUUCCUUUAGGGUGUGAAGACUAUCAAUUUUUAAUACAUUUUAAGACAGAACACAUUUCUUCAGGCAAUUUCUAUAGUCUCUAAAGGUUCUUUGAUCCGUUCCUCUGUUGGAAACCAUAAAAGUUUUAUGUAGAAUCCUGCAACAGAGGGCUUUCUGGCAAACUGUUACGGCGUAAGCGGAAUAAAACACCCGGGAUCUGAUUUAUUUGUAAUAACAACAGUACAGCGUCAUGAUCUUAUUAUAACCUCACAUUCGAUUGAAUUAGAAAUGGAUGUAAUGCACACGAUAAGAUGGAUGUAUUCCAGAUUUUUUCUUUUUUUUUUUUUUUUAAUUAUAUGACUUUUUUCGCCCAUGAAUCCCCAAAUCCAGUCCAUCGAUAUGAGACGUCACAGUGAGUGAGAGAUGGGAUUUCCAAUUUGAAUUCGCAUGACAGUGAUGUGUUUUAUUCUCAAACACUCCAUGAUCUGACCACGUCUUUAAAAAUAAAUAAAUAAAUAAAUCAAUCAAUAAAUGAAAACCUCGGCUCAGUGUUCACUCGCAGGAAGGAAGUGGGGCCGGAUAUCACUUCUUUUGACAGUUUUAUCCAUCAGACGUCAUGGUGUGAAUUUGUUCUGUCAGGGAAAUACCCUGCAGAUGAGAACAUAUCUGCGUAUUACUGCACAAUUAAUGUAGCUGAAAAUCCUUCCAGCUGUUAGGUGUAGAAGGAGGAAUUUGUCAGGUUGAAGUAUCGACUCAAUAAGUGAAUGUACGUUAUGACACCGAGGCUUUUUUUUUUUCUCUCUAUGUAUCGUAUUUUAUUUCUGUACUCACACCCUAAUCUCUGUCAGUUUGCAUAGCAUCUGUAGCACUCGCAAAGUUCAUUAAAGUGUCUAUAAAACUAUAACCGGAGCAAAAUCUAAAUUCGGAUUGGCUUGAUGAUGCGAUUGAAUUUACGGGAUGAAAAAUCUGACUUGUCCUCAUCAGACGACUGGCGAGUCAACGUCUCAGAUGAUUAUUUUUGAAUUCUUCUGAGAAUAAACGUCCCGAUCAAUUUCAUGCUUUCUAAAGCCUGGCAAAUUAUUUAGGAAGAAAGAAAAUCUGUGUCACGUGUCCAGGUUUUAUUCAUCCUUCGUUCUGAUACGUUUUUAAACAGGCUGUGUAAAGAAAAAUAAACCACGUAUUACAAAAAUAAAAAUAAAUAAAUAAAUAAAUAAAUGAAUAAAUAAAUAAAUAAAAAACGAAGACCAGACAAGUGGUUUGCUUCGGAUUUUUACUGAAAAGUGACAUUUCAAACAAAAGUCGAAUGAUCUGAUCUGGAUGAAAUCGUUUGAACUCAUUUAGCUUAAAGUAUAAAGCUGAGAAAGCUCAAAUCCUUGUAAGAGGUUUUUUUUUUCCAUUUUCAUUAAUAAAAUUCAUAAACUCCAAGCUGUCACGACGUGUAAUAGGAGUGCUGCGAAUCAUCCGGAUCAUUCCAAGGGCCUUCGGCUGUCCAUUUCGCUGAUCUACAGAUGAUGAACCAAUUCAGCACUGUCAACGCUUCCUCCUUUAACUUUAACAAGAAACUAUUUUAAAGUCAGCUCCAUUUUCUGCCAUGAUAAAAGAUUAAAUAGGAGCCAGUCGCUCUGUUCUGACACCAAAGAAUGACUUUUUUUUUUUUUUACUUAGGGUCCAGCUGUGAAUCAUUUCUUCCUAGAGAAAGAAAACUAAGUGCACCUACAACAUGAUUAUGUGUGUCCUGUUCGAUUGAUUGUUUAUACGAUAAACAGCUCUGAACAUCUCUUGGUUUUAUCCUUCAGUUUCAGUUGUUAAAAAGGAUAAACCAACAUGACGAUCAGAGAGCUGUCUGUAGGAGAAAAGCGAGCCAUUUUGAAGCUGAGAAAAGAGAGAAAAUCAAUCAGAGGCAUUGCAGAAACAUUGGGUAAAGCCAAUACAACAAUCUGGAAUGUCCUGAAAAAGAAAGAAUCCACCGGUGUACUGAGGAACAGACACCGAACGGGUCGGCCGAGGAAAACAACAGCAGCUGAUGAUGGAAACAUUGCAAGAGCUGUGAAGAAAAACCCAAAAUAACAACCAGUGACCUCACCAACAUCCUCCACAGCGCAGGGUGAAGGUCUCACAGUCCACCGUUUGAAGAAGUUUUCGAGAGCAGAAAUAUUGAGGUCGUACCACAAGAUAUAAACCACUCAUCAGCAGUAAGAAUCAGAAAUCCAGACUGGAAUUCACAAAGAAAUACAGAGAUGAUCCACAAAAGUUCUGGAACAAGAUGAACCUCUACCAAAGCGAUGGAAAGACCAAAGUGUGGAGAAAGAAAGGAUCUGCUCACGAUCCAGAACAUACGAGCUGAUCUACAAAACAGUUUGGUGUCAGUGAGUCACUGGAUUGAUGCAGAUAUUGAAAGCAAGGUGUAAAAGUGAGGGCUCGUGUUUUAACGGCGGUGGUUCAGACGCUUGUGUAGAACCCCGUCUCAGAUGCUUCUACUCAAGAAAAAUCUGGCAGUCUCAGAGGUGUGAACUGCAAGCAGUCCAUUUAAGUGCGUGAGCGACCCGACUGAAUACGGGGAACUUUCCUGACAAAAAUAUCGAGUCACCGAAUCUGAAUACAGCCUUACGUGUAGGUGAAUUUCAUCACGCUAUUUCCUGAAAUUCCGCAUGACAUCAGAUGAUAAACGUCAUAAAGUAGAUGUGAUAAAUAAGUGGUUUAAACCCGGCUUUAAAGACUAAGCAUUAUUGAGGCUUUCUGGAGGCUUUCAUCCGGCUUCCUCGAGCUGUUUGGUGGCUGUUAAAUAAAAAGGACUGUGAACCAUU